UGGGGGAUAUUGCACAAUGGGCGAAAGCCUGAUGCAGCGACGCCGCGUGGGGGAUGAAGGCCUUCGGGUUGUAAACUUCUUUUGCUCUGAACAAGGCAUGCCUUUGGGGUGUGUUGAGUGUAGGGGUUGAUUAGCGCCGGCUAACUACGUGCCAGCAGCCGCGGUAAUACGUAGGGCGCGAGCGUUGUCCGGAAUUAUUGGGCGUAAAGGGCUUGUAGGUGGCUGGUUGCGUCUGUCGUGAAAGCUCAUGGCUUAACUGUGGGUUUGCGGUGGGUACGGGCUGGCUUGAGUGCAGGAGGGGAGGCUGGAAUUCCUGGUGUAGCGGUGGAAUGCGCAGAUAUCAGGAGGAAUACCGGUGGCGAAGGCGGGUCUCUGGGCUGUUACUGACGCUGAGGAGCGAAAGCGUGGGGAGCGAACAGG
rnacentral:rRNA from 1 species